rnacentral:rRNA from 1 species
UCUACGGGAGGCAGCAGUGGGGGAUAUUGCACAAUGGGGGAAACCCUGAUGCAGCGACGCCGCGUGUGGGAAGACGGUCCUCUGGAUUGUAAACCACUGUCCCCAGGGACGAAGAUGACGGUACCUGGGGAGGAAGCUCCGGCUAACUACGUGCCAGCAGCCGCGGUAAUACGUAGGGAGCGAGCGUUGUCCGGAAUUACUGGGUGUAAAGGGAGCGUAGGCGGGACUGCAAGUUGGGUGUCAAAUCUACCGGCUCAACCGGUAGCCGCACUCAAAACUGCAGUUCUUGAGUGAAGUAGAGGCAGGCGGAAUUCCUAGUGUAGCGGUGAAAUGCGGAGAUAUUAGGAGGAACACCAGUGGCGAAGGCGGCCUGCUGGGCUUUUACUGACGCUGAGGCUCGAAAGUGUGGGGAGCAAACAGGAUUAGAUACCCCAGUAGUC